GGAGGGUACAGGUCAGUGGUAGAGCGCGUGCUUAGCGUGCACAAGGUCCUGAGUUCAAUCCCCAGAACCUCCA
rnacentral:tRNA from 1 species